rnacentral:rRNA from 1 species
GCCUAUGUCCAUCCUACCUUGAACACAUUUGAUCUUGGAAGUUAAGAAGGGUCAGGCCUGGCUACUACUUGGAUGGGAGACAGCUUGGGAAUACCAAGCUUUUGCU